rnacentral:snRNA from 1 species
UGAAGUAGCCAAAGUACU